rnacentral:lncRNA from 7 species
AGCAGACAGCCUGAAAGAAGAGCUCUGAAAGAGAAGUGUUUGGUGCUUGUGCUGAGGAAAGUAUUAACUGCUUCAGUGCUGGAUUACAAAUUGGCAGUCAACUGAGCGUUUAUCCCAAACUGCUUUCCAGAGCUCCAGAGGAGGAAAAUCACCCGCUGUCAGAGACAGACCGUUUCAGGCAGCGAGUGUUCUCAAGGAACGAAGACAGCAGUGGUAUGGAUUGUUGAUUGGCUCACGUGAAUGAGAAGCAGAUCGCGAACCUCUCAACAUCACAGUGCUUGUGAGCUCUUGGAUGCCAGGGCUUGGGUCGUGUGCCUAUGCUGCUAAGAUGAUGAGGGUGGCACAUCCACUCAGCUUCGUAAGAGUCCACAUUGCAAAUACUAGUCCCUGUUAGGAGGAUGGGAAGGGAUGAGCCCGAGUGUGGUUAGCCAAUCACCUGCUCCUCGCCUCCCCCCAGACUGGGCAGGGGGGGCUUUGAGAGAAGCUGAUGAAGCUGAAAACCACUUCUGCUGCGUUGCCUUGGGCUACACUGCUGAAAAUGGAAAUUAUUUCUCAGGUCCUUCCUGUACUGCUCUGAAACCUGCCUGUUGCAGGGACAGUGUGCUCGAUGACUUCUUUGUUUCAUUUUCAAUUCUUUCUCUAUUUGCUUUGAUGUGACAAUUCAAGCAUCUGAAGAACUUUUUCACAUCUUUAAGUAGGAAUUUUCUUGGAUUUCUUGAGAUUGCAGAAGAUGCAGUUUUUAAAGCAAUUUUCUGUUCCUCCUAGUGCAGUUUUCUUUCUAUUACUAGUAGCAAGCCUUCAGUUAGAGGCUACGUUUUACAUAUUUACCUGUUGCUCUUUUAAAUGAAAGGGUGCUUUGCCCUUUAGGCAUGCCGGUUGAGGAGUUUUGGAUAUUGUGAAGAAAUACAAAGUUUAGACUCAAUUUAUGACACUACAAGUUCUUUAUUUUAAAGACACUUAACAGAAUGUAUAUUAUUUCUUUCAUACUGCUAUCAUCUUUACUUAAAGUAUUUUAAAAAAAUACUUAAUUCUUACCUUGUACUGACUUCAUCUUACACAGACACGUGUUCUGAUUUUAAUUAAAGUUAGGUAUGCAU